AAAUCAUGGUUGGGGCAUUUUCUAAACAGCAUCUGAAAACGCUCCCAAGCUUCAUAAAUGAUUCAUCUGCACCUUGCCUGAAAGUUGAUAUCUCAAAUUUCGCAUGC
rfam:Lupinus angustifolius cultivar Tanjil contig_24523, whole genome shotgun sequence.